CCCAUUAAUAGGUAUUUUAAGGGGAAAAAAGAUAGAGCUGUGUAUCUUUGGUGUUGAUGUGUUUGGAUGUAUUGGCACAAUAAAGCAUGAUAGCUGUAUUUUCCUGAACCAUAUCCAGUACAGAUGCAUCAUGUAUAUGUUACUGCAUGGAUGAUUGCAUGGGAUGUUCCUCCAUAAAGAAUUGAAGGUGGGUUAAAGUGAGAAGAGAUCAGUAAUGAAGACAGUAAAUUGGUGGCGACCAGAGUGACUUUGAGUGCAUAAUCCCAAAAAAACUCAGGAUUAGUUAAAUCCCCUAUGAGGAGGAACCAACAGUCCCUAUUUUCGUAGGAUUAUGUGCUCCAUUAGUUUUCUGGUUGUGAUACUUCUUCCUCUUCUGGUGCUUUUCUCUUCUCCAAAUGGAAUCUGCAGUGACAUUAUCCACAGGAUAAAGUAUAUGAUCAUCCAAACAAGCCCUAACUCUUGAACACUGCUUUCAAAGAUUCAAGGACAAAACUUGUAUGAUUUGGGGUUGAUCUUCGGAGUUUUGCUCACAUCAUGUAUGGAAUCUAUUGCUACAUAUCAUGAAAGAUGGGAACCAAUCCAACUUAUGAAAAGUUUGGUCAUAUCAUAAAUAGAUUC
rnacentral:lncRNA from 1 species